rnacentral:ncRNA from 14 species
GGCAUGGCGCAGCCUGGUAGCGCACUUGCAUGGGGUGCAAGGGGUCGAAGGUUCAAAUCCUUCUGUCC